AUUGAACGCUGGCGGCAGGCCUAACACAUGCAAGUCGAGCGGAUGAGAGGAGCUUGCUUCUCGAUUCAGCGGCGGACGGGUGAGUAAUGCCUAGGAAUCUGCCUGGUAGUGGGGGACAACGUUUCGAAAGGAACGCUAAUACCGCAUACGUCCUACGGGAGAAAGCAGGGGACCUUCGGGCCUUGCGCUAUCAGAUGAGCCUAGGUCGGAUUAGCUAGUUGGUGAGGUAAUGGCUCACCAAGGCGACGAUCCGUAACUGGUCUGAGAGGAUGCUCAGUCACACUGGAACUGAGACAUGGUCCAGAGUACUACGGGAGGCAGCAGUGGGGAAUAUUGGACAAUGGGCGCAAGUCUGAUCCAGCCAUGACGCGUGUGUGAAGAAGGUCUUCGGAUUGUAAAGCACUUUAAGUUGGGAGGAAGGGUUGUAGAUUAAUACUCUGCAAUUUUGACGUUACCGACAGAAUAAGCACCGGCUAACUCUGUGCCAGCCGCCGCUGUAAAAC
rnacentral:rRNA from 1 species